GUUUUCUCGACUCAGAGAGAGAGAGAGAGAAGAAUCAAAUCGUAGCUUUCGGACAAACUUUUCACUCUUAAUUUCGUAACUCAAGCGAGUAGAAGAAAGAAGAACAAGAAUGAACGAGCUUGAAAAAAUUCAUCACUGAUUGGUAGAUAACUCGGAGAAAAGGAAGAGGGGACGGGAAGCUGCACCGGUUUCGUUUUGAUUCUGCGAUGUCUUUCUUUCUUUACUCCGCUGAAAGAAAGCGAGAUAGAGAGAAAGCUGUUUCUGGUCCUAGGAUAAUAGAUAUUCGUUUUGCUCAGGGGAGGAUGAGUGCAGUAUCGAAACAAAUUGACUGAGGGGCUUGGUUGUCUACCUUGAUUGUCUUUCUCACAGCCAGAAAGAGAGGAAUACCUUGGGUGGAAGGGUUGCCAACAUAAGUGCAGGAAGAAUUGCUGGAUAACAGUCUCCGGGAAGAUCUGACAUGGAGGCCAUCUACUUUGAUGAAGGUGUAAGGAACUCAAGACGACACCAACUGAAAACAAGAGCAUUGGU